GCCAGACUCCUACGGGAGGCAGCAGUGGGGGAUAUUGCACAAUGGGGGAAACCCUGAUGCAGCGACGCCGCGUGAGUGAAGAAGUAUUUCGGUAUGUAAAGCUCUCUCGGCAGGGAAGAAAAAAGACGGUACCUGACUAAGAAGCCCCGGCUAACUACGUGCCAGCAGCCGCGGUAAUACGUAGGGGGCAAGCGUUAUCCGGAUUUACUGGGUGUAAAGGGAGCGUAGACGGCAAUACAAGUCGGAAGUGAAAUACCCGGGCUUAACCUGGGAACUGCUUUGGAAACUGUAUGGCUGGAGUGCUGGAGAGGUAAGCGGAAUUCCUAGUGUAGCGGUGAAAUGCGUAGAUAUUAGGAGGAACACCAGUGGCGAAGGCGGCUUACUGGACAGUAACUGACGUUGAGGCUCGAAAGCGUGGGGAGCAAACAGGAUUAGAUACCCGUGUAAA
rnacentral:rRNA from 1 species